AACGAACGCUGGCGGCAUGCCUAACACAUGCAAGUCGAACGAACCCUUCGGGGUUAGUGGCGCACGGGUGCGUAACGCGUGGGAAUCUGCCCUUGGCUUCGGAAUAACAGUUAGAAAUGACUGCUAAUACCGGAUGAUGUCGCAAGACCAAAGAUUUAUCGGCCAGGGAUGAGCCCGCGUAGGAUUAGGUAGUUGGUGGGGUAAAGGCCUACCAAGCCGACGAUCCUUAGCUGGUCUGAGAGGAUGAUCAGCCACACUGGGACUGAGACACGGCCCAGACUCCUACGGGAGGCAGCAGUGGGGAAUAUUGGACAAUGGACGCAAGUCUGAUCCAGCAAUGCCGCGUGAGUGAUGAAGGCCUUAGGGUUGUAAAGCUCUUUUACCCGGGAUGAUAAUGACAGUACCGGGAGAAUAAGCUCCGGCUAACUCCGUGCCAGCAGCCGCGGUAA
rnacentral:rRNA from 1 species